UGUAGGAAAAUAGGAACAAUGUUGGAUCUAUGAGUGAUAUAUGGUGAAUACUUGUCUGGAAUUCUGAGAUGCAG